rnacentral:rRNA from 1 species
ACCGGCAGCUCAAGUGGUGGCCAUUUUUAUUGGGCCUCCAGCCUUCCCCGCCGCUUUGCUCCGUCUCUGGUGAAAUCCCGCAGCUUAACUGUGGGACUUGCUGGAGAUACUAUUAGACUUGAGGUCGGGAGAGGUUAGGGGUACUCCCAGGGUAGGGGUGAAAUCCUAUAAUCCUGGGAGGAGCGGCUGUGGCGUAGCGGCCUAAGUGGAGGGGAGGGGGGGGGGAGGAAAGAAAGAAAGGGGAGAGAAGGG